AAUGAUUCACAAGAUGACGAGCGUGGCAAUCUCGGCGGGCUCGCUAAAGUCAGGGGAAGGAGAGAAACAAUGGGGAAGGGAGCAUAACAUGGAUGUGGGGCAGGAGGGGCCGUGGUCGGAGCGGCAUUGCGUGGGCAUAUUGGGUAUUAUUUGAGCUAAUACUCCAUUUUCUUACAAGAGAUGUGGUCCCGUCGAUGUUGGCUGUCGAAUUUGUGCUGCAGUCCAUGCCCACCACGUCCGAGUCUUCGCCCCUUCGCCAUCCAACACGAACAACAGAACAAAGUAGCAGUCGUGAUUUGCCAGGUUGGAGAACUAACGCAGAUUGCUGCCACGGAGUGCUCGCCCUUCUUCUGUGCCAUAAAGCCCCUCGGUCGAAACUUGCAAAUAAAAAUUGCCGACCCUGUCAAUCUCGCUGGAACGACGUCUAGCUCAUUGUGCUCUACUCACACUAACUGCAUAUCUCAUAACUAAAGCCAUGAACAAGUGCUUCAGUUAUGAUGGUGGCAAUACAUUGCUUGAGGUGACCUCAUGUGCAAGAUUAUCCCCAUGGAGGGAGCUGGCACGGAGACAUUUGCUCACAUCAGUACUAUGUAUGCAUUAUUUUUUACUUGAAGAUUAAAGGAUUAUAAGAACUGAGACCAUUGCAUGGAAAUCAGCUUAGCACCAUAAUAAUGUGGUGGUGUAUCAUGUAGUCCGGGCAGGAUCACCACUGAUUGACAUCUAUCCUUUUUAAUCUCCUAAAGCAAGAGUAUUUUGGUGGAGGACAAUUUAUGAAGGCAGGAUUAGCUAUGAUUAAUAAACCUGAAACUUCUUAGCAACUACUUCCUCUGUAAACUAAUAUAAGAUCAUGUAGAUGACUUCUUUAGUGUUAUAAAAGAUCUUAUAUUAGUUUAUAGAGGGAGUACUCAAUUAUUAUGUAACGCUAGAUUUUCUCCAACUACACAUGUGUUCUGUUUUUCACACUGGUGUACUGUUUUUCUUAUUCAUCCUUUCAAAUAAUUUAGUCUCUAAUGAUUUGGUAUAGCCAACGUGCAUACUACCCGGUGUAGGCAUCUAAUUUGUUUUAUUCUUUGUUCCAUGAUGAGAUGAUGGAUUGUAACAGGGUAGCCAUUUCCUUCUCUUUUUAACUCUUAGAAAACGAAAUGGUUUUGGUUAUAUGGUUUAUAUCGAUGUUUCAUUUGGACCAGGAUAAAAAGUACAUUCAGACUGCCCGUUGAAC